GACGAACGCUGGCGGCGUGCUUAACACAUGCAAGUCGAACGGAAAGGCCUUUUCGGAGGUACUCGAGUGGCGAACGGGUGAGUAACACGUGGGUGAUCUGCCCUGCACUCUUGGAUAAGCCUGGGAAACUGGGUCUAAUACCGGAUAGGACCGCACUUUGGUGUGUGUGGUGGAAAGUUUUUUCUGUGUAGGAUGAGCCCGCGGCCUAUCAGCUUGUUGGUGGGGUAAUGGCCUACCAAGGCGGCGACGGGUAGCCGGACUGAGAGGGUGGUCGGCCACAUUGGGACUGAGAUACGGCCCAGACUCCCACGGGAGGCAGCAGUGGGGAAUAUUGCACAAUGGGCGCAAGCCUGAUGCAGAGACGCCGCGUGGGGGAUGACGGCCUUCGGGUUGUAAACUCCUUUCGCCAGGGACGAAGCGUUUUGUGACGGUACCUGGAGAAGAAGCACCGGCUAACUACGUG
rnacentral:rRNA from 1 species